rnacentral:rRNA from 1 species
CCUACGGUGGGCUGCAGUGAGGAAUAUUGGUCAAUGGGCGCGAGCCUGAACCAGCCAAGUAGCGUGAAGGAUGACUGCCCUACGGGUUGUAAACUUCUUUUAUAAAGGAAUAAAGUGAUGCACGUGUGCCUUUUUGUAUGUACUUUAUGAAUAAGGGUCGGCUAACUCCGUGCCCGCAGCCGCGGUAAUACGGAGGAUCCGAGCGUUAUCCGGAUUUGUUGGGUUUAAAGGGAGAGUAGAUGGGUUGUUAAGUCAGUUGUGAAAGUUUGCGGCUCCACCCUAAAAUUGCAAUUGAUAAUGGCAGCACUGAGUACAGUUGAGGGAGGCGGAAUUCGUGGUGUAGCGGUGAAAUGCUUAGAUAUCACGAAGAACUCCUAGUGCGAAGGCAGCCUACUAAACUGCCACUGACAUUGAUGCUCGAAAGUGUGGGUAUCAAACAGGAUUAGAUACCCCAGUAGUC